GUUGCUAGUUAGUAAUCGGGUUAAACUUUAUUUGUCACUUCAUUCCUUUUGUCAGCCAUUUUGUCCUUCUUCACGAAGCACAUUUUUUUGUAACAGUGAAAAAUAUCAUCAACUGUAAAUUAUAAUUAAGUGACAAUAAUGGGAACAAAAGGAGAAGUUAAUAAAAACAAAGGAAUUGUAAAAAUGAAAGGAAAAAAAGUAUUCACAGUCGUCAACAAGCUCAUCUUUCUGAAAAUCAAGUCAUUGCUGUUGCUUCUGCUGUUUCUGUUGCUGCUUUUGUUGCUUUUUACUGUUGCUUUUGAGUUGUGAAGGUAAGACCUGAUAGUCCUUCAGGUGAAAGAAGAGAGAUAAUCAUGAGACAAUCAUGCUGCCUGAUUUGGUUGAUUAUUGUGUUCUGUUGUGUAUGUGUAUGGACACAAUGAGAAGCAGAGACAAUCAGUUGAUUAGUCUUUCUCUCCGUGACGUCUCGAUCAUCAUUGUUGCUUGAAACUGGCAAAGAAAGUCGAAAUUUGUAAUCAAGAAUUUCAAGUUCCCUGAAGAUUACUAUGAUGGCAAAAAUUAACUAUGUCCUGUUGAUGCUUGACUGAUCAAAGGACCACGAGAAAUUUUUUUAAUCAGCAUUUUAUUUCUCAUUCCUUUCAUCAAAUUUGUUACUUUGGACAUGAUUAUUAUAUUCAAUCUUUUGGAAAAUCCUUUAAUGUUAAAAAUUUUGGUUAAUAACCAAGCGGAGAUACAUAAUGACAAUCAGCAGCAAAUUGAAUUACAAUAGCCAACAAUUACCCGAUUCCCGAUGAAAAGGAUAAAAAAAGAUUCCAAGGCUAAUCUUACAGCAGCUUUUAAAAAACUGAUUUUCCCACUACAAAUUGGACAACAUCCACAGACAUGACCGUCCAACAAGUCGGCAAUUAUUGACCAAUACCUGUUUCCAUCCAGAAAGCAAAUUUUAUAUUAACGUUGAUGAGGAAACAAAAAUAACUAUUCACGGAUCCAAUCACAUCAACACACAACCCAACAGCAAGAAAAGGAUUCGUAAAAAGAGCAGCGCAAAGAAACUGAUAAAUUGGUUCAGAAAUUGUUGAUCAUCAAAAAUAUUUGCAAUUAAAAUGUAAAAGAAAAAUAAUUACCAUCGCUGCUAUUAAUUAUCGAAACCUUGAUUCCAAUAAUGGACCCUUACAUGUUAAUAGUUGUAACUAUUAACAGGGGCGGUCGAUAGCUUUAGGUUAUUCCAGAAAAAAAAGUGUAUUCAUAAUAACAUGGCGCCUUUGGAGUUGUGUGAACUUACCCUCAAGGCUAAUCAACAA